rnacentral:rRNA from 1 species
AUUGAACGCUGGCGGCAUGCUUUACACAUGCAAGUCGAGCGGUAACAGGGUGCUUGCACCGCUGACGAGUGGCGAAUGGGUGAGUAAUGCGUCGGAACGUGCCGAGUAGUGGGGGAUAACGCAGCGAAAGUUGUGCUAAUACCGCAUACGUACUGAGGUAGAAAGUGGGGGACCUUCGGGCCUCACGCUAUUCGAGCGGCCGACGUCUGAUUAGCUAGUAGGUGAGGUAAAGGCUCACCUAGGCGACGAUCAGUAGCGGGUCUGAGAGGAUGAUCCGCCACCCUGGGACUGAGACACGGCCCAGACUCCUACGGGAGGCAGCAGUGGGGAAUUUUGGACAAUGGGCGAAAGCCUGAUCCAGCCAUGCCGCGUGUCUGAAGAAGGCCUUCGGGUUGUAAAGGACUUUUGUCAGGGAGGAAAUCCCUAGUGCUAAUAACACUGGGGGAUGACAGUACCUGAAGAAUAAGCACCGGCUAACUACGUGCCAGCCGCCGCCGUAA